GCUUUGGAGUGGCACAUCAAAUUGGAGUAGUAUUUAUAUACAAAACAAGCCACGAUGAAUUAGCAA
rnacentral:ncRNA from 1 species